GUUUUGACUUUCACUAAUAUUCUGUACUACAUACCCUGUACGCUCACCUGGACCUAAAGGUUUUCUGUAAGAGAUAACUUUUUCCUAGUAAAAUAUGUCCGCGCAGACAUACAUUACUAGUAGAAAAAGUUCCUAGAGUGUUUAAAUUUUUGUGUGUGCCUGUGUUUUCAAUAAAAAUGCUUCAAGACUUGAAACUCAAUUGACUUUGUCACGUAUUUUACAUCGCAUUUAUAAAUGAUCUGUAUGGAAAAACUUGGCGAUUUUACUGCCAAAUAUUCUCCCCUUUACAGACUUUUGGUUCAUGUCAGAUAUAAAUCAGAAGAUAUCAAUGCUGGUCGAAGGCAUCGUUAACAUAAUCAUCCUAAUCUAUG
rnacentral:lncRNA from 1 species